rnacentral:rRNA from 1 species
UACGGGGGGGACGAGCGUUGUUCGGAUUUACUGGGCGUAAAGGGCGCGUAGGCGGGCCUUCAAGUCGGGUGUGAAAACUGAAAGCUUAACUUUCAGACUGCAUUCGAUACUGUUGGUCUUGAGUACAGUAGAGGAAAGCGGAAUUCCAGGUGUAGCGGUGAAAUGCGUAGAUAUCUGGAAGAACACCAGUAGCGAAGGCGGCUUUCUGGGCUGAUACUGACGCUAAAGCGCGAAGGCUUGGGUAGCAAAC